rnacentral:rRNA from 1 species
UGGGAAUAUUGCACAAUGGGCGCAAGCCUGAUGCAGCGACGCCGCGUGAGGGAUGACGGCCUUCGGGUUGUAAACCUCUUUCAGCAGGGAAGAAGCGAAAGUGACGGUACCUGCAGAAGAAGCACCGGCUAACUACGUGCCAGCAGCCGCGGUAAUACGUAGGGUGCAAGCGUUGUCCGGAAUUAUUGGGCGUAAAGAGCUCGUAGGCGGUUUGUCACGUCUGCUGUGAAAUCCCGAGGCUCAACCUCGGGCCUGCAGUGGGUACGGGCAGACUAGAGUGUGGUAGGGGAGACUGGAAUUCCUGGUGUAGCGGUGGAAUGCGCAGAUAUCAGGAGGAACACCGAUGGCGAAGGCAGGUCUCUGGGCCACUACUGACGCUGAGGAGCGAAAGCAUGGGGAGCGAAC